AAGAGAGUCUCCUAGACUGCUACCCUGGGCAACCAAGACUAAAUCACUUGGCUCUCU
rnacentral:tRNA from 1 species